rnacentral:rRNA from 1 species
GACGAACGCUGGCGGCGUGCUUAACACAUGCAAGUCGAACGAAGAGCGAUGGAAGCUUGCUUCUAUCACUCUUAGUGGCGAACGGGUGAGUAACGCGUAAUCAACCUGCCCUUCAGAGGGGGACAACAGUUGGAAACGACUGCUAAUACCGCAUACGAUCUAAUCUCGGCAUCGAGGAUAGAUGAAAGGUGGCCUCUACAUGUAAGCUAUCACUGAAGGAGGGGAUUGCGUCUGAUUAGCUAGUUGGAGGGGUAACGGCCCACCAAGGCGAUGAUCAGUAGCCGGUCUGAGAGGAGGAACGGCCACAUUGGGACUGAGACACGGCCCAGACUCCUACGGGAGGCAGCAGUGGGGAAUCUUCCGCAAUGGACGAAAGUCUGACGGAGCAACGCCGCGUGAGCGAUGACGGCCUUCGGGUUGUAAAGCUCUGUUAAUCGGGACGAAAGGCCUUCUUGCGAAUAGUGAGAAGGAUUGACGGUACCGGAAUAGAAAGCCACGGCUAACUACGUG